rnacentral:tRNA from 1 species
GGGGGCGUAGCUCAGUGGUAGAGUGUACGCUUAGCAUGCGUGAGGUCCUGGGUUCAGUCCCCAGGACUGCCA